rnacentral:rRNA from 1 species
UACGUAGGGGGCAAGCGUUGUCCGGAUUUAUUGGGCGUAAAGAGCGUGUAGGCGGCCUGAAAGGUCAGCUGUGAAAACUCGAGGCUCAACCUCGAGACGUCGGUUGAAACCAUCUGGCUAGAGUCCGGAAGAGGAGAGUGGAAUUCCCGGUGUAGCGGUGAAAUGCGCAGAUAUCGGGAAGAACACCCGUGGCGAAGGCGGCUCUCUGGGACGGUACUGGACGCUGAGACGCGAAAGCGUGGGGAGCGAACGAGG